UACGGGGUGCAGCAGGCGCGAAAACUUUACAAUGCGGGAAACCGUGAUAAGGGGACACCGAGUGCCAGCAUCAUAUGCUGGCUGUCCGGGUGUGUAAAAUACACCCGUUAGCAAGGGCCGGGCAAGACCGGUGCCAGCCGCCGCGGUAACACCGGCGGCCCGAGUGGUGAUCGUGAUUAUUGGGUCUAAAGGGUCCGUAGCCGGUUUGGUCAGUCCUCCGGGAAAUCUGAUGGCUCAACCAUUAGGCUUUCGGGGGAUACUGCCAGGCUUGGAACCGGGAGAGGUAAGAGGUACUACAGGGGUAGGAGUGAAAUCUUGUAAUCCCUGUGGGACCACCUGUGGCGAAGGCGUCUUACCAGAACGGGUUCGACGGUGAGGGACGAAAGCUGGGGGCACGAACCGGAUUAGAUACCCGGGUAGUCCCAGCCGUAAACGAUGCUCGCUAGGUGUCAGGCAUGGCGCGACCGUGUCUGGUGCCGCAGGGAAGCCGUGAAGCGAGCCACCUGGGAAGUACGGCCGCAAGGCUGAAACUUAAAGGAAUUGGCGGGGGAGCACAACAACGGGUGGAGCCUGCGGUUUAAUUGGACUCAACGCCGGACAACUCACCGGGGACGACAGCAAAAUGUAGGCCAGGCUGAAGACCUUGCCUGAAUCGCUGAGAGGAGGUGC
rnacentral:rRNA from 1 species